UUGGGAAUAAAUUCACCUCUCCAGGAUGAUGGUAAGAGUGGAAUUUACAGGUAGAAUGAAAAGAGAAAUAGAACUCAUAAAUAACAUCUCCAUGGAUACUUAAAAGAUGAAAAUACCAGUCUCCCAAAACCUGAGCGCCUCCUCCCCACUGUAAAUACCUAUGAUGGCCAGCUGCAAGAGGUCUCUGCAAAGCAGAGUCUGAAAACUCCCGUUUCACCCACUGAAGGAGCAGCCGAUCCUGUGGCUUGAGGCUGCUCAGGGGAAAUGGGGGCAACGUCCCAUAUCUAAAAACAUCACAGCGAGGAAUAUUUUUAGCAUCUCCUGUGGCUAGAAUGCCCUCCCGAUCCUCAGGAAACAGUUGCCCAUCUUUAACACGUGGCUGUACACUCUCAACCGGCUUUUCCUCGGGGCUCACUCAGAGCCCGCCCCCGGCCGGCAAGGUUCCGCCCCUGAAACGGCUGAAGCUCAGAAGUCACGAGUCCACUCAUCGACCACAAAUGGCCCGAAAAUGACGUUUUCCCAACUCCUGCGUCUAAAAGGGGGCCUCCUGCCUUCCAGGAGACACCGCCCCCCACCCCUGCAGUUGGCUCGCCCCCUGAGGAGUGUGUCUUUUCAGGGACACACGAAGCCCCGAAGCGCUGCCGGGGCAUCACAGGCGCUGUGUGUUCCAGAAUUCCCUCCGGCGGCGCUGGUAUCUGUCAUUUUAGUCUUCUUGAGAAAAAGAAUGCAUUAAAUGUGAGCCUGAAGGUGA